GACGAACGCUGGCGGCGUGCCUAAUACAUGCAAGUUGAGCGAUGAAGAUUGGUGCUUGCACCAAUUUGAAGAGCAGCGAACGGGUGAGUAACGCGUGGGGAAUCUGCCUUUGAGCGGGGGACAACAUUUGGAAACGAAUGCUAAUACCGCAUAACAACUUUAAACAUAAGUUUUAAGUUUGAAAGAUGCAAUUGCAUCACUCAAAGAUGAUCCCGCGUUGUAUUAGCUAGUUGGUGAGGUAAAGGCUCACCAAGGCGAUGAUACAUAGCCGACCUGAGAGGGUGGUCGGCCACCUUGGGACUGGGACACGGCCCAAACUCCUACGGGAGGGAGCAGGAGGGGAUCUUCGGCAAUGGACGGAAGGCUGACCGAGCAACGCCGGGGGAGUGAAGAAAGGUUUCGGGUCGGAAAACUGUGUUGGUAGAGAAGAACGUUGGUGAGAGUGGAAAGCUCAGCAAGUGACGGUAACUACCCAGAAAGGAACGGCUAACUACGUG
rnacentral:rRNA from 1 species